UACAGAGGGUGCGAGCGUUAAUCGGAAUUACUGGGCGUAAAGCGUGCGUAGACGGUUAUUUAAGUCGGGUGUGAAAGCCCCGGGCUCAACCUGGGAAUUGCAUUCGAGACUGAAUAGCUAGGGUACGGUAGAGGGAAGCGGAAUUUCCGGUGUAGCGGUGAAAUGCGUAGAUAUCUGGAGGAACACCGGUGGCGAAGGCGGCGUUCUGGACUGCAACUGACACUGAGAGACGAAAGCCAGGGGAGCAAACGGG
rnacentral:rRNA from 1 species